UACGGAAGGGGCGAGCGUUGUUCGGAAUCAUUGGGCGUAAAGGGCGCGUAGGUGGUUCUGUAUGUCUACCGUGAAAGCGUACGGCUCAACCGUAUUUUGUCGGUAGAAACUGCAGGACUUGAGGCUGGGAGGGGCUGGUGGAAUUCCCUGUGUAGCGGUGAAAUGCGUAGAGAUGGGGGGAGAACACUCGUGGCGAAGGCGGCCAGCUAGACCAGUUCUGACACUGAGGCGCGACAGCGUGGGGGAGCAAACAGG
rnacentral:rRNA from 1 species